GCUGUGCUCGACCUUAACUGCCGAGGGCGGAUGGGCCGCAGGGUUACGGUGUUGGAGUCUGUGGAGCACUUAAUAGCGACCCCCUUCUCAGAGGAGAUCAGCUCCCGCAGAGGUGGAGGCUGUGUCCUGCGUGUUAGCGAGCACGGGUGGGGGAAGUAGUCACUGCCAGGAUGUGACUGGUGCGGUGGGGACUGGCCCGGACCAGGGGAAGGCAGCUCCCGGAAUUCGUGUCAUGGGAUGCCAAGAGUACACAGCAGCACAGACUUAAAGGAAGGAACUUGCCACCUCUUGAUGCCAGGUGGCUCAGCAAAAUGUUAUCAGAAUCACCACCAUUAAGCUAUGCAUUUUUCAGCAGUGAUGAACAAGAGCCUGCAUGUUGUGCUCGUAAAAAUCUGCAUGGCUAUAUGCAACACGGCUUGUCUUCCAUGUUGCUGUUGCUACUGUUGAAAUGCACCACCCACCACCUCACUGUGCUCAAAUCCGCUGUUCAGUCUCCAUAAAUGUUCAGUAAGUGUUGAUGAAUGUCAGUGAGUGUCAUUUUUUCGACAUGAAGGAAUUCAAUUUCAUACCUUUGUU